UCGCAGAACAGCAUCAACUCUUUUGUCUUCUUUCUUCGCAAGGUGUCUUCUUCCCUUAGAAACUCUCUAUGUUUCUCCCUUUCGACCAGCAACAAAAAGAAGCAAAGGAAAAAAAAAAAAAAAAAAAAAAAAAAAAAAAAAAAAAAACAGGAAAGUUGCUCUCCCUCUCUCUUCCUCUCGGCUUGCAAAAGAAAACAAAGAAUAACUCUUUUCCUUCUCUUUCCCUUUCAGCUAGCAAGGUUCUGUAACAGAAAAACAAAAGGGAAAGCUUUCUCUCUCUCUGUCUCUCUAUGUCCCUUGGUCUAUGAACAAAAACAGAACUCUCCUCCUACCUUGGCCAGCAUAUUGUUUAAACAAAGAAAAAUAGAAGAAAACUCUCUCUGGGCCUCUUUCCCUAGGCUAGUAUGAGUUCCAGCAACUCAUCUUCUUCCUAAAAAACCAGAAAAGGAAAAAAACUCUCUUCUCCUCUCUGUUUCUUUCUCUCGGCAGCAAGGGGGUAGCUUAAGCAGCUCAAAAAUAGCAAGCUCUCUCUCUCUCUCUCUCUCUCUCUCUCUCUCUCUCUCUCUCUCUCUCUCUCUCUCUCUCUCGGCCAGCCGUGUUCCAUAUACUUGGAAUCCUUUUAAAAAUAUCUCAACCUUGCUUUGGGGAUAUUUUGUGAUCACUUGUGUGGAUAUUCUCUGAAAGCAGAAAAUGAAUAUGGGAUUCUGGUAAUGUCCACAAUCACGUAAAUGAUUAUGCAGGUCUGAAGGAAGAAUAUGAGGUUGGCUAGGACUCAUAUAUUUGAUCCUGAUAUCUAUGGAUUACUUUUGAUAGCUUUAAUAUUUUAAGCUAACAUUUUUGUAGCCAGUUAUAUUUACUAUAAAUUUGUAAUUAAUUGUGUUACAGCCAUUGUGGUAUGUAACAUGUUUAGAAAGAUGUUUGUAUUUCGGUAGUUGUUUAUGUAGGUGUAUGCGCCGUUGUGGCACUUAUUGUGAUAUAUUUAGAAUACUUAU